GGUUAUCAGUAAAGUAUUGGUAAUCUUGCCUGCUCGAUGCUAAAGGUAAAUGGCUGCAGUAUUUUGACUGUACUAAGGUAGCAUAAUCAAUAGCUUUUUAAUUGAAGGCUGGUAUGAAAGGUUAAUACUAUAGAAGAAGUUUUGUUAAUUUAUUUUGAAUUUAAAUUAAAAGUAAAAAUGCUUUUAUUAACCCUUGGGACGAGAAGACCCUAGAAGCUUAAAUACAAUUGUAUUUUAGUUGGGGCGACUGAUGAAGAUAAAAAUCUUUAUAUUUAAAAUUUUUAUAAAUACAAGUUACUCUAGGGAUAACAGCGUAAUUUAAUUUAUGAGUUCUUAUUUGAAAUUAAGUUUGCGACCUCGAUGUUGAAUUAAAUGAAAAUGAGGUGUAGAAGCUUUAUGUUUUUAGUCUGUUCGACUAUUAAAUUUUUACA
rnacentral:rRNA from 1 species